rnacentral:misc_RNA from 1 species
ACCCCAAAGACUCCAUAAACGAGAUUUUAAUAAACCCAUCACGUCCGGUAAAACCUUCCUGGCCAAACCCUUGUGGUUAGCCCCCAAAGCUUGUCCUGUCACCAUCCCCAUUUUCAGAUUCCUUGUCAUCUUUCCCAUCUUUUCUCCACAGACAACUCCAUUUUCCUUCACAACUCCACCUUCAGUGUUCUCUGGCAUCAUCACCACCUCACAUUCAUCUUCA